UUUUUUUAUAAGAACUUCCCCAUUUCAAAACAGCCAAACCCAAAAGAUUCCCCUCCCCGUCCACGCCUCGCCGAACCCUAAACCCCGGCGAUCCCCAUGGCCACCCACCCCCGAUCUCCCCACGACCUCCUCGGCGGUGGCGCAGUCGCCGACGUGCUGCUGUGGCGGCGGAGGAACGCCUCGGCGGCGGCCGUGGUGGGUGCCACGGUGGUGUGGUUUGUCUUCGAGCGCGCGGGCUACAGCUUCCCGUCCGUCCUGGCCAACGCACUGCUCCUCCUCGUCGCCAUCCUCUUCUUAUGGGCCAAGUCCGCAUCGCUGCUCAACAGGCCUCUUCCACCUCUUCCUAAUCUGGAGGUUUCAGAUGUGGUUGUCGAGAAAGCUGCAGAUCACGCUCUUGUAUGGAUCAACAUGGUGUUGGUUGUUGGCCAUGAUAUUGCCAUCAAGAGAGAUAGGAAAGUUUUUAUACAGGGGAUAUUGAUUUUGUGGGUGGUUUCAUACAUUGGAAUGCUCUUCAACUUCCUUACGCUCAUUUACAUUGGGGUAAUGCUUUCUCUGUUGGUUCCACCACUGUAUGAGAAGUACCAAGAUCAGGUUGAUGAAAAGUUUGGUGCAGCAUACAGUGUACUAUCAAGGCACUUAGAUACCAUCAUUAGCAAGACUGGGCAAUCAACCAAGCAAAAGAAGACCGAGUAAAAGAAAUAUUUUUCUGUAUUUGGUAAGUCUCAACGGGACAUGGAAUAUGUUACUUCUUCAUGUUUUGUCUUAUCAGGAACAUCUCCGGUUGUCCAGAGCAGUUGGCCAUGGGUCUUUCAUCCUUGACUCUCCAUACUUGUGUGAACCUCCACUAAAAUUAGUUUUCAAUAUGCAAGAUUAAAAAUACCAUGUUUGACUUCUGAUAUGAUGUUUUGAUGCAUGCUGUUCAGUCUGAGAAAUGGAAUUAUCUGUGUAUUUUUUUCCUAAGAACCUGAAACACGCAGAGGUUUACAAUAGGUACUUAUCUUAUUGGCGAUGGCAUAUGUCAAUGUGAGAUAUUGCAGCUUGCACA